AGUACCAUCCAACACGACCUUGAACUUUCUUGAACCAGAAAAUGGCGACCAGGAAGUGAUUUUUAGAAGUGAUCGUGAUGGUUUGCUGUUUUAUAAGCAAAAUGUGAAAUGUCAUGGGAUACCUUAUCAGCCCGUGGAUACAUAAGCCAAGCACCAGUCCAGCAGAGCUUACUCUGGAAUGACAAGCUGAUGAUGAACUUCUUGUCAGUUACUGUUUCGCAGGUCUUGCUUGCUGGCCGCAGUUUGACCCAACAGCCACACAGAGGGAGAGAUGCAGUCACAGAGUGGCGGGGACAGACCAGUGACAUCCAACCUGGACUUGGUGACCUGUGAGAAGUCUUCAGCACUCAUCCUGGUGACAGUCCUGGGUAUCUGGGGUGGAGAGGCACUUUCUGACUCUUCAGAUCGAAAGAUGAAGAACACUGCCACAUCCAAGGGAGAUAAUCCACUUUCAACGCACCUGCCAAUCAAGCAACUUCAGUAACCUAUGCUGUCUAUUGAUGUGAAGCACCUCCACAUCUCCAUAUCAGUUCUCACCUGUGCAACGCCUGGGUCACCUACUUUCCUCCAUCUUCCUGAGGCAAGGGAAUUAACUGACUAUAAAAGUCCUGUUUCCACCCUUACCGAACUACGCUGGAAUUUCAUGGCUCGAUCCUAGCGCCACCAGUGGCAGUUACGUGUUAUGGCCCUUCUACGUCCCUCCAACUGACCAGUCAGUUUCCACCUCCCUCUCGUAUCACUUCCAUUUGCUUCAAACGAUAUGGCGGCACAUAGUCAAGAUGAUCUGAUCUAUAAUCAAGAUCUAUAUUGUAAUAAAAUGGGUCUUACGCCCAGUUGACAGUACACAUGCUCUUGAAAUCCUGCAGUCGAACGAAAGCUGCACGAUGGAAUCCAUGUUGUUUAUGAACCGGAUGUCUAGUUUCUUAUGCGAUUUUCAUUGGACUAUGCAAAGACUCAUUAGUCCAGCCACAAUGUAACUCCAGACUUCGAGCCUAUUUAUGCAAGGGUGGAAACUGGACUUUUAUAGUCAGAUAACUCCCUUGCCUCGGGAAGAUGACUUUCUUCCUGCUGCCCGAAGCACACCCAAGCCCUAGUCGAAGUUUCCAUAUUGACUUAGCCGGACUUUUGCAGUUGACACGAUGGACAGCACUGUGGGCUCUACCAUGGAAGUUACGAGCAAAGGGAACUCUCAUCCUCCUUGGGGGUGUUUUCCUUCCUUAACAGAAUACAGCUCACUUGUCUUGCCUGAUGGCUUGUUCAUGUCUACCUGAUGAUACAGCUCCAUGCCUGUGAACUCCCAAUGCCGUGCCGUGGCCGUGCCGUGCUGUGCUGUGUCGCACCACAAAAUAUGUCUCGAUGUAACAAGUCUGUUCCAGACUGGGUAGGCUCCCCUUUUAGAGUCUUGGUGUUAGGGAACCAGGGAUAGGGUACAAUGCCCCUUUUAGAGUCUUGGGGUUAGGGAACCAAGGAUAGGGUACAAUGCCCCUUUUAGAGUCUUGGUGUGAGGGAACC